rnacentral:rRNA from 1 species
GACGAACGCUGGCGGCGUGCUUAACACAUGCAAGUCGAACGUGAUUUUUGUGGAAAUCCUUUCGGGAAUGGAAAUGAAAUGAAAGUGGCGAACGGGUGAGUAACACGUGAGCAACCUACCUUACACAGGGGGAUAGCCGUUGGAAACGACGAUUAAUACCGCAUGAGACCACAGAAUCGCAUGAUAUAGGGGUCAAAGAUUUAUCGGUGUAAGAAGGGCUCGCGUCUGAUUAGCUAGUUGGAAGGGUAAAGGCCUACCAAGGCGACGAUCAGUAGCCGGUCUGAGAGGAUGAACGGCCACAUUGGAACUGAGACACGGUCCAAACUCCUACGGGAGGCAGCAGUGGGGAAUAUUGCACAAUGGGGGGAACCCUGAUGCAGCGACGCCGCGUGAGCGAAGAAGGUUUUCGAAUCGUAAAGCUCUGUCCUAUGAGAAGAUAAUGACGGUAUCAUAGGAGGAAGCCCC